rnacentral:lncRNA from 1 species
UGACAUUGCUGGUGGUGUGCACAGAGGGAGCUCAUCAAGGAGGUGCCAGGGGACUUCCAGCUGCCAAGGCCUGCGUGGAAGAGAGCACAGCGCCGGAGUCUUCGAGGGCUUCUGCAGGUGUUCUUCCAUCUCUUCCUGGCAUCUGGGCUCGCCGCCAGCACAGCUGGAGACUCGCCCCUGUGGGUCUAAGCUCUUAGUCCCAAGCAAACAUCCUGGACUCCAAACUCUGCCUCAGCAGCUACUUCCAGAGAAGCCACUGCCACCACAGGCCCCAGGAGCAGUCUGGAGAAGGAGGCUGGACUGCAGCUCACAGUGCUCAUGGUCGGUGGAGUAAGAGUUUCUCUGGCUCUUCCUCUCCUCUCCAGCCACUUCGAGUGGUGUGAGACAGGGGGUCUUAUCUGGCACUGGGCCCCGUGCCUGCGUUCCUCUGUCAGGGUCCAGCUCCAGGCUGCAUGGUGAGAAGGGGGAGAGAGAAAGCUCACGUCUUCUCACAGAGCUCAUCUCCUGGGUGAAGCAGAGGCUCCUGGACUCCUGCCAACUUCAUCUGGAUCCAGUGGUGACCUCUGACCCUGGAGCUGUUUCCCCGUAGGUGGCGAAUGUGUUUUUCUCAGGAAGUGUUUUGUUUCACCUAGACCCCCUCUCACAGAGGAGCUCUGGCUUUUCUCCUGACUAUAAGCAGAGCAUUCAUUUUUUUUUGUAAAUGUGACAUAAAUUUCUAAUUGUAAAAGUAUAUUCCUCUCCAGAACCAGGACAAAGUGACUCGAGAGAUGACUUGGGUCAGCACAACCCACCUUACUAAUAACUCUUACAUUUCCUAGUCACCUUCCCACAAUUUACUGGCCCUAGAAAUCCAACCCCCCUUUCCUUUAUUUACUUACUUCUCCGUAAUUUGUCACCCUUUGUUAAAAUGGCAUAGAAGCCCCAAGUCGCACAGCUUUUUGGGUUUUCACUUCUUUUCUGUGAAGCCUCUGUGCACAUGAAAACAUCAAUGAAGUCGUAAAGCUUUCCCUCCUUCUAUUCUGUCCUUCAGUUCAUCAGUUCCCAGAAAAGGACACAGAGGACACCAGAAAGGGCUUUCUUCCCCUGUACCCCUAAACUCCCAGGGACAAAUGCAGUUGCCUCUGACCCAGCUCUUUCUUAGUGGAGGACCAGAGGGGGCAGCACUUGGAACAGCAUGGCUAGCUUCUUCCUGGGGAGUGAGAGGCCACUGCCCCUUCCAUGAAGCCAUUUCUUAGAGCUCUGUUCACUUGACAUGGGAAGCAGAGAGGAGGCACCCACUCCCUGGUCUAUGAGAAAAGGAGGUGAAAAUCCCCUUCUGUGUCAGACCCCCCUGGCCAAAGUCAGAUCAGGCUGUAGUAUGGAGGAGACAUUCUUUCCUUGUAAUUGGCCACAUUGCAUUCGGAGCUGGACAGAAGCCUAUGUGACUCACAGGAG